AACGAACGCUGGCGGCAUGCCUUACACAUGCAAGUCGAACGAACUCUUCGGAGUUAGUGGCGCACGGGUGCGUAACGCGUGGGAAUCUGCCCUUGGGUACGGAAUAACUCAGAGAAAUUUGUGCUAAUACCGUAUAAUGUCUUCGGACCAAAGAUUUAUCGCCCAAGGAUGAGCCCGCGUAAGAUUGGCUUGUUGGUGAG
rnacentral:rRNA from 1 species